UACGGGGGGGGCAAGCGUUGUUCGGAAUUACUGGGCGCAAAGGGCUCGUAGGUGGCCAACUAAGUCAGACGUGAAAUCCCUCGGCUUAACCGGGGAACUGCGUCUGAUACUGGAUGGCUUGAGGUUGGGAGAGGGAUGCGGAAUUCCAGGUGUAGCGGUGAAAUGCGUAGAUAUCUGGAGGAACACCGGUGGCGAAGGCGGCAUCCUGGACCAAUUCUGACACUGAGGAGCGAAAGCCAGGGGAGCAAACGGG
rnacentral:rRNA from 1 species